rnacentral:lncRNA from 1 species
AUCAGAGCACCGCAGCCAGGGAGAUGCUGGCGAGACGACAGCGAGAUCCUCUCCAGGCCCUGCGGCGCCGCAAUCAGGAGCUGAAGCAACAGGUUGAUAGUUUGCUUUCUGAGAGCCAACUGAAAGAAGCUCUAGAACCCAAUAAAAGACAACAUAUUUAUCAAAGAUGUAUCCAGUUAAAGCAGGCAAUAGAUGAAAAUAAAAAUGCUCUUCAAAAAUUAAGCAAAGUGAGGAAAUUGAAGCUCUCAGUGGUGAAGCAUCCAUGCCUCUUCUGUCAAUAAGUGGCAGAACUUGGGAUUGGUGCCUGUCUCAUUGACUUUAAAGCCGA